rnacentral:misc_RNA from 1 species
GCUGCCAAGUGUUUCAUGGUCCAAAUUUAAGCAAUUGCAAUAAUUGAAUAGAUAUUUAUUUCCCCACCGCCAUUCAUUGGGAGUUUGUACGCGUGCGAAGGACAAAGGUGAUUUUGCAGUUUGUAGCGAUGCACAACCAAACGCUCGGAGCACUCUUGUUUGCUCUGGAAGCUCUGGUAAAUUUUGGAGUCUUUUGCAGCUGUUUAAACUCAAUAAUCUUAGAGAUGAUAAAGAAACAAUGUCACUGGGGAUUUCUGAAACUGCAGUGCCAUCUAGAUAUAAAUCUGUUAAAGAGCACAAACCAUAUAAAGGAGGC